UUCCGGUUGAUCCCGCCGGAGGCGACCGCUUUGGGAGUUCGAUUAAGCCAUGCGAGUCGUGAGUCUUAGGGACUCGGCAUACUGCUCAGUAACACGUGGAUAACCUGCCCUAUCGUCUGGAAUAACCUCGGGAAACUGAGAAUAAGGCCGGAUAGUUCACAAUGCCUGGAACGGUUUGUGAAUCAAGGUAGGAUGGGUCUGCGGCGUAUCAGGUUGUAGGGGGUGUAAAGGACCCCCUAGCCUUCGACGCGUACGGGUGUUGGGAGACAUAGCCCGGAGAUGGAUUCUGAGACACGAAUCCAGACCCUACGGGGUGCAGCAGGCGCGAAAACUUCACACUGCAGGAAACUGUGAUGAGGGAACUCCUAGUGCAUGCACUAUGUGUAUGUAGAUCCUACUCUUAACAAGUAGAGGGAAAGGGCUGGGAAAGACCGGUGCCAGCCGCCGCGGUAAUACCGGCAGCUCAAGUGGUCGUCGCUUUUAUUGGGCCUAAAACGUCCGUAGCCUGUUUGGUAAAUCUGUGGGUAAAUCAGUCCGCUCAACGGAUUGAAUUCUGCAGAGACUGCCAGACUAGGGACCGGGAGAGGUGUGGGGUACUCGAGGGGUAGGGGUAAAAUCCUGUCAUCCUUCGAGGACCACCAGUUGCGAAGGCGCCACACUGGAACGGAUCCGACGGUCAGGGACGAAGCCUAGGGGCACGAACCGGAUUAGAUACCCGGGUAGUCCUAGGUGUAAACGCUGUGAACUUGGUGUCKGGGGUCCGCAAGGGGUCCCCGGUGCCGGAGUGAAGAUGUUAAGUUCACUGCCUGGGGAGUACGGUCGCAAGGCUGAAACUUAAAGGAAUUGGCGGGGCAGCAC
rnacentral:rRNA from 1 species